rnacentral:misc_RNA from 1 species
UCCACACUAUCCAUUUAAUAUAAAGCAUAUAACCACAAUACGCAUUUAAUAAAAAAGCAUAUUAUAACAAUAUCUAUUUAAUAAAAAAGCAUAUCAUACUAUCCAUUUAACAAAUUUAACAAAAAAAAUAAUAAGAAAAAAAAAAUAAAGUGCUGGAACUGCUGGAGUGAAGAUGGACCGAUAUAAGAAGAGAAGAAAAGGAGGAGAGAAAAGAAUAAAAAAUAAAAAGAAAAAAAAAACAGAAAACAGAAUCCAUUUGCAGAGAGACAAAAGAAAAUUGAUGUUAAAAGAGCAACACACCUUAAAACCCACAAACAAAGAUUUUAGCUGCCAAGAAAAAGAAGCACAAAGAAUCAGAAUUAGUUAUCUAUGUAUUGAAGGCAAACACAGUAAAAUUAAUGCAUGACAGCUUUUUUAGGUUCAAUUUCUGGAGACUCUUCUACAAUUGAUAUAGUCAAACUAGCUCCCUAAAUAAUUCUUCUUAGCCUCUUUAUUUGGAUGAAACUUCACAUCAUCUUGCUCGAUUCUCCCAUGCUUUAUAUGACUUCUUACAACUGAAACAAAAUAAUUUUUGCUGCUAGAAGCAUAAGAAACUUCAGCUUGAUUUGCUUUUGAGGCAGUAACCAUUCUUCUACCUUUGUCAUUUGGAAAUUUUGCAACUGGUUUAACCUUCUUGAACUCCUCCUUGAUUUCAUUGCAGCAAACAUCUAAUUUUGAGCCUUUAACAUCAAAAAUAGCAUAAAAAACAGCUACUUUGCAUUGCCCUUCCUUUGUUUCAACGCCUGUACAAUCACUUUUCCAUACUGAAGUUUUCUUUUCAUUUUCACCUUUAUCACAAUUAGGUAUUUCUUUAGCUUCAGCACUAAAUAUAUCAGAUUUCAAAUUUAAAAUAAAGUUAUUAUUCUUCAAUCUUGCUUCAACAACCUUAUAGUCACGUGAGUUAUAAAUGGAACACAAAUCCCUUUUAAAUACCACAUAAUAUCCCUUCUUUAUCAUUUGUGCAACACUAAGAAGAUUUUGAUCAAGGUUUGGAAUAAACAAUAUAUAAAAAAUGAGCGUCAUACCUUUCUUUGUCUGAAGUCAAAUUGAACCUCUUCCUUCAGCUUCUACAAUUUCUCUAUUUUCCAUUCUCACUUUAGUCUUGACAGAUCUAUCCAAAAAGUUGAAAAAACUUGCAUCAUUGGCCAUGUGAUUUGUACAGCCACUAUCAACAUUCCAAAUAUACUUCUCUAGUGACUUACAAACUUGAGAUGCAAAAAAUAAAGAUUCUUCAGCUUCUUGUUGAUCUUCAAUGAAAUUGGCUGGUUGAGCAUGUUGUUGUUGAGAUUGAUUUUGCUUUGCUUUGCAAAAUCUUUCAAUGUGACCUUGCUUCUUGCAAAAAUUUCAUUGAACCCCUUUCCAGCAUCUAUCUUUACUGUGAUUUGUCUUCCCACAGGUGCCACAAGGUGGAAAUUUUCUUUUCCCACUACCAUCUCUGUUUUCAGCUUCAUUUUCCUUUGUGCUUAAUGAAGCUUUUUCUUUAUUCUUGGCUUGGAAAGUUUGGAAGGCUCUUUCAGUAACUUCUUCAUUUCUUAUUGAAGUUCUUUGCUCUUGAGCUUGAAGUUUGCUAAUUAAGUUUGCAAUUGUGAGUCUUUUCAAGUCACAUGACUCUUCAAUUGCAGAAAUUUUUGCUUCAAACUUGUUUAGCAAAGAAAUCAUAAUCUUCUUCACAACUUUUCCAUCGAGAAAAUCUUUUACAAAAAGCCUCAUUUGAUUCACAAUCUCCAUCAGUUUGGCAGAGUAGUUUUUGAUUGAUUCAACAUCCUUUAUUUUGAGCAUCUCGAAUUACCUUUUAAAAGUGAGCAAUCUGACUAAUGUCACCCUCUCAUUUCCUUAGAACUCUUCUUUGAGCUUUUCACAAGCUUCCUUGGCUGUUUGGCCACCAACUUUACUUGGAAAGGUUGAAUCUGAAACAGCUUGAUGAAUGAAAGUUAAAGCCUUGUGUUUCUUGGCACAUUCAUCACUAUGAUAUUUGAUUUGUGCCAAGGUUGGAUUUGGUGGCAAAGGUGUUGGAUCUCUUCCAGUGUCUACUACAUCCCACAAGUCAUGAGCUCUAAAAAAUAUUGUCAUUUUUACAGUCCAAAAAUCAUAAUUCUCACCUGUAAAAAGGCAUUUUGUAGAUAACCUCUCAAUUUUUUUUCUUGUUAAAUAACUCUCAAAUCUCUCUUAAAAAACUCACAAAGAUAGACACAGGCCCCUUAAGAUGGAAGCUUUAAUACCAUUUGUUGGAUUUUCUUCUGAUACCAUUUGUUGGAUUUUGUCAUAGUAAACUCACAAAGAAAACAGAGGUUCUUUACCUCACACAACAUACAAUUAAAAUUGCAGAAUUAACACACACAUUUCAUUAGAUUAGGCUGCUUAUAUAGCAGCAAAAGUAGUACAAAAAGCAUAGUCCAUAGUUACUACAACAAGUUUCAACUUACUUCUUUUUAAUCAAUCUCCUUAAAUCAAGGA